rnacentral:snRNA from 1 species
CCAGUUCCGAACCCGUCGG